rnacentral:rRNA from 1 species
AUUGAACGCUGGCGGAAUGCUUUACACAUGCAAGUCGAACGGCAGCACGGACUUCGGUCUGGUGGCGAGUGGCGAACGGGUGAGUAAUACAUCGGAACGUGCCCAGUCGUGGGGGAUAACGUAGCGAAAGCUACGCUAAUACCGCAUACGAUCUACGGAUGAAAGCGGAGGAUCGCAAGACCUCGCGCGAUUGGAGCGGCCGAUGGCGGAUUAGGUAGUUGGUGGGGUAAAGGCUCACCAAGCCGACGAUCUGUAGCUGGUCUGAGAGGACGACCAGCCACACUGGGACUGAGACACGGCCCAGACUCCUACGGGAGGCAGCAGUGGGGAAUUUUGGACAAUGGGCGCAAGCCUGAUCCAGCCAUUCCGCGUGCAGGAUGAAGGCCCUCGGGUUGUAAACUGCUUUUGUACGGAACGAAAAGGCUCUGGUUAAUACCCGGGGCUCAUGACGGUACCGUAAGAAUAAGCACCGGCUAACUACGUGCCAGCCGCCGCGGUAAUAC